GGGUUAUCGCUCGGCUCAUUCGUCGAUGAAGAGCACGGUCAGCCACGAGAACUGAUGCGAAUUGCAGGACUCAAUGAACAUCGACACCUCGAACGCACAUACUGCC